UUUGCUGUUCCAGAAAUAUUUGACCAUUUGACUUUUCAGAAUCUGGUGACCCAUCUCUGGUGUUAGGAGACAGCAGCCAGCUCCAGUCUUCUCCACCCUCCUCUGGCUCUGCCUGGGUUAUCAAAGGAAAGGCUCCGAUCAUCCUGUCCACCCUCCCAGCUGCUGGAAGUCCCUGUCCCAGCUGGAAUCUUCUCCCUCAUCUUACCUGGUUCCCCAGCCAGUGUCCUAUGGACUGGGUAGCCGGGGAACCAUUUCUGCCCUUUAUUCACA